UAGGUUAAAUGUUCUGGGAAAGAAGUUAAAAAUGGAACUCAUGCUAUUUUUCACCCUAACCACCUAUAUAAUCACUAUCAAGUUUCUACCCAUGAAGAAUAGUAUUUCCAAAUACUGACACCUUUUUCUGUUAUUUAUUUAAAAACAAACAAAAAACAAAACAACAACAACAACAAAAAACCAACCUCUUCUGAUUACAGGAGA
rnacentral:lncRNA from 10 species